rnacentral:tRNA from 1 species
GCCCGACUGGCGCAAUCGGAUAGCGCACCAGACUUCUAAUCUGGGGGUUCUGGGUUCAAGUCCCAGGUCGGGCUCAA